rnacentral:rRNA from 1 species
AUGAUUUGGGUUUCUUCUUGCUUUCAUUUUUGCCUCUCUUCUCUGCUGCAGCUCCGCUGGUUCUUUGUUGUUGCCGCACUUUGGGUUGACUUGCCAUGGAACCAUUUGGCUGACGUGUCUCCAUCACCAUUAUUUGCUAUGUUUUGGAUUUACCCGCUCCCUGACUGCUGCAUUUUGCCUCCUGUAGGCCUCUGCUUUUUUCGUCAUCUUCCAUCGGUCCAAGCUGCUAUUGUUCGCUCCGUCGGCUUGCAGUUGCUUCUGGAGCGUGCUUCAGAUUCAUUGUGCCUCCUUCCAAUGUAA